rnacentral:lncRNA from 1 species
AUCAAAUGAGAUUAACGUUAGUACAUUUACUUUGCAAAGCUAACACUAAAUAUCUUGUAACGUAUGGGUUUUAAACACUUGCAACAUAUACUUUCAUCUCGUAUAACCUAAACUUUAAGGUAUCGUUUGGUUCGGGGAUAAGGAAAAAAUGGCUAUUCCAGGGAUAGGUAUAAAUUGAGGUAUAAGCGAGGAUUAGAUCAAUUUUACGUUUGGAUGAAAAUUGGGUUAUUCCUGGAAUAAAAAAAAUAACGUUUGGUUAGGUAAGAUGGAAUAAGAAAGAUAAUGAGUUUUGUAAAUAAAAAAUAAUGAUAUUAUCCACUUAUUAUAUUUGAAUUUGAAUUUUUAAAUUUUUUAAUUUAUAUUUCUAAAUUUAAAAUUUUAACUUUGAAAUUUAAAAUCUCAAAUUUUAAAUUCAAAAUUUUAAAUUUUAAAUUUCAAACUUUAAAUUUAAGAUCAUAUUUAAAUUUGAAAAAUAUAAAAUAUCAAAUUUUAAAUUUCAAAUUAAAAUAUCAAAAUUUAAAUUUAAAAUUUAAAAUUAUAAACUUUAAUUUUGAGAUUAUAAAUUAUAAAUUU